GAUGAAGAACGCAGCGAAAUGCGAUAAGUAAUGUGAAUUGCAGAAUUCAGUGAAUCAUCGAGUCUUUGAACGCACAUUGCGCCCCCUGGUAUUCCGGGGGGCAUGCCUGUCCGAGCGUCAUUGCUGCCCUCAAGCACGGCUUGUGUGUUGGGCCUCCGUCCUCCUCCCGGGGGACGGGCCCGAAAGGCAGCGGCGGCACCGCGUCCGGUCCUCGAGCGUAUGGGGCUUCGUCACCCGCUCUUGUAGGCCCGGCCGGCGCUUGCCGACACAUCAAUCUUUUUUCCAGGUUGACCUCGGAUCAGGUAGGGAUACCCGCUGAACUUAAGCAGAUCAAUAAGCGGAGGA
rnacentral:misc_RNA from 1 species